rnacentral:rRNA from 1 species
UACGAAGGGGGCUAGCGUUGUUCGGAAUUAUUGGGCGUAAAGCGCGUGUAGGCGGCUUUGCAAGUCGGGUGUGAAAGCCCUCAGCUCAACUGAGGAAGUGCGCCCCGAAACUGCAGAGCUUGAGUGCCGGAGGGGAGAGUGGAAUUCCUGGUGUAGCGGUGAAAUGCGUAGAUAUCAGGAGGAAUACCGGUGGCGAAAGCGACUCUCUGGACGGCAACUGACGCUGAGGCACGAAAGCGUGGGGAGCAAACAGG